rnacentral:rRNA from 1 species
GGCCCUUGGUUAUUGUUUCUUGUUUUUGAGCAACUUAAAAAACCUUUAAAUUUCAAUUUCUUUAAAAAUCAAAACUUUCAACAACGGAUCUCUUGGUUCUCGCAUCGAUGAAGAACGCAGCGAAUUGCGAUACGUAUCAUGACUUGCAGACGUGAAUCAUCAAUCUUUGAACGCACAUUGCGCCUUGAGGUAUUCCUCAAGGCAUGCCUGUUUGAGCGUCGGCUCCCUUCAAACCCCCGGGUUUGGUGUUGCCUUCCGAAAUAUCACAGUUGUUGCAAUACGUUACUUCAACUUUAUUCUUUCGCCCUCAAAUCAGGUAGGACUACCCGCUGAACUUAAGCAUAUCAAUAAGCGGAGGAA